GUCACCCAUUCCCCAGAUGGUUCCCGGAUCUUUCGACCAGAAAGCCCCGGGUGAAAAGGGAAUGUGGUGCGGUCGGAUAUCGGCCAAUUCCACAACUGCCCCCGCAACUGUAAGCGGCGAGCUGUUUUGAAAAACCACUGGGCGCCCCCGGGAAGGAUCAGAACCGCAACGACCCGCAAGUCAGGAGACCUGCCAUCUGAUGAAACUCAAC
rnacentral:ncRNA from 2 species